rnacentral:rRNA from 1 species
AACGAACGCUGGCGGCAUGCCUAACACAUGCAAGUCGAACGAGACCUUCGGGUCUAGUGGCGCACGGGUGCGUAACGCGUGGGAAUCUGCCCUUGGUUCGGAAUAACAGUUAGAAAUGACUGCUAAUACCGGAUGAUGACGAAAGUCCAAAGAUUUAUCGCCGAGGGAUGAGCCCGCGUAGGAUUAGCUAGUUGGUGAGGUAAAGGCUCACCAAGGCGACGAUCCUUAGCUGGUCUGAGAGGAUGGUCAGCCACACUGGGACUGAGACACGGCCCAGACUCCUACGGGAGGCAGCAGUGGGGAAUAUUGGACAAUGGCGAAAGCCUGAUCCAGCAAU